GGUAUGAGCCGAAUGCGGGGUUGAGGAGCGUGUUAUUGAGUAAUGGAGGUGGCUCUCAGCAAGAUGAAUGGCGAGCUGCAAAGGGGAUGGAAUGGGAAGCUGAUUUUCCCCUGGAGUUUAGCCGUCCAAUGGCCAAUCUCUCCUCCCUGACUGCACCAGCUGAAAUCUUGAUGUUCAGAUGUUCCUUCUCUUCUCUCCUUCUCUGCCACAUCAUCCUGCCGCUCUUCUGCUCUUCUGUUUGCCUGCUCAUCUACUUGUAGAGCCUGGGGCUUAGGGUUUAUAUGUGUAUAAGAUAGGGGGCGUGGCAGACCAAAAGGCAACAUUUGGGUGUGAAAACAGGAAUGCUUGUUCCCACUUCGGGUUGUGGGUUUCCAGGCUUGAGAGUGGGGCCAUUGCCAAGGAACCGCCCUCUUCUAACCCAGUAUUUUCCUGUCUCCUGUCCAUAUCAAUUGGACAUUUACACAGGUUCAGUUGAAGGAUCGGUGGUCUCAGCCGGUUUGAAGUGGACAAUGCUGACCCCAGCAUCCUAAAAAACAACUGUUACCAUGGCCCAGAGCUGCUCCAAGUGGAUCCUCUGUUCCUGUCCAACAGAAUCUUCGCAGGUCUGCCGUUUGGUGCUAUUUUCAAGACCAAUAUUUAAGUCUUUCUGGUGAAUUCCUGCCCAUCCGUCAAGAUCGAGCCUGCAUGGCCCCUCCUACCCAUCCUGGGGGCUUCCAUAGCCCUUCGUGUCAUCGCCACCAGAGCUUGAGAGCACAGCCUUGCACUUUAUCUGCUGACAGGUCCAUCUCCCCAGCUGGCCCUGAGCGGAUGCCCUGAGCGGAUUCUCAGGGGCGGAACCGCAUAGUGCCUGGCUUCCAUCACCUAAUACCAAGGCCUUUGCUGACACCAAAGCUCUGUAAAUGUUGCAGUCAAUUCCAAGCGUCUUUUUCUCAACUAUUCUCAUCUUAAUUUUUGUGGUCUCAAUGCCUUCCACAACGGUUUACUCUCUUACUCAGAUUUCACCUAUCUCACUGAAUGGUGGUAUUGGGUCACUUGGGGUCAGAAAACCCUUCCAAAAAUGCUGACACUCAGGCUAUUACUAUUGCUGGAAGUGAAGAAAGUGUCCUUCUUUUCUGACCCAGGAGCCUCAUGUCUUCUACCAACAUCCGUGAAAUUGUGGCAUGCAUGCUUAUUAGCCUGCAAAUGAGGUUAAGUCUCACUUCUUGGUGGUAUGGAGCACUGCAGGGUGAGGAAGUGUGCACGCACAGGCGCAGAGGCCUGGGGAGCCCAGCCUGCUGUUAGAACUGCCAGGAGAGCAGAUGACUGCGGCACACCCUUGCUGUGUGGGGUGGCAAGCAGCCUCUUCCUUCAGACUUCUGCCCAAAUGUGACCUCAUUAGAAUGGCCUUCCCUAACCAUCCCAGCGGACACAGAAUCUCACAUCACUCCCUGUCUCCUAUAUUGCUUUUCUGUCUUUCACACACGUACCACAUCAUCUCAUGUAUUUGUUGUCUAUACUUCCCUACAAAAUGGCAAAUCCCAUCAGAGAAGGAGCUUUGUUUCAUUCACUGCCGUAAUUAAUUCUACCACUUAGGACAGUGCCCCACCCUGGUUUGUAUCAUGGGUUAGAGCCUGUAAGCCAUGCCAGGAGCUUGGGUGAAUCCUGGGAGGUCAGAAGAGCCUUUCAAAUAUUGUAUGAUUUGCAUUUUAGGGCAACGAUCUCUUCAGCAGUUGGGAAGUUCAUUGAAGGAAGGCAAGACCACAGGAGUCUGGGAGGUCAGGUGGGAGGCAGGCGCAUCAUCUAGGAGGAGGGUGUUGGAGUAGAUUUAAGACACUGGGCUGAAGAGGAGUGGAGGAGUGUUGAAGCUAUCAAGGAUGAAUGGACAGGGCUUGGAGACCGAUCGGAUGUGGAAUGCAGGUGAGUAGGGGUCACAGACGGUGAUUUGGGUGACUGGCAAGUGGUUCAGAGCAUUCAGGGGAAAUGGGGGUGUACCUGGAGGUAAGAUGUUCAACUGGGGCAAAAGUUUGACUUACUGUUAUCUGCUGAACUGUGAGAAGGGCUGUUAUCCUGUGUUCAUUACUUGACACGAUCCGAUGGCCAGAAGUGUGUUGCUGGUGCCAGGGUCAGAAUGCGGGAGUGUCUCAGUCCUGUGUUCGCAGACCCUAAAGGAGAAGCAGGUUACAGGGGUUUCUAGUAGUCGUUUCUGAAGUCAGCUCCAGGUUAAACAGCCCUCAUUUAAGCUUACAUUUUCACACUUCUCCAAUUUCUGUUUUUCAAUAUUUUUACAUUUUUAAUUUAUAUGCCACAAAAUGCACAAUUCUUGGGCACACAUCCCUGUGAAUAUUUACCUUUGCAUACACCCAUGGAACCACCCAAAUCAAGAUUCAGACCCUUUCCAUAUUUCCAGAAAGCUAUUUGUGCCUCUUCCAAGUCCAAGGUAACCAUGCUCACCCAAAGGUAACCUCUGUCUGACUUUCAUCGUCUAGGAUCAACAAUGCUGAUUCUUGAACUUCAUGUAAAUAGAAUUGCACAGUAUGUACUUUUUAUAUGUGUCUUGUUCUUUCAACAUCAUGACUAUGAGGUUCACCUUUCAGAAAUUUGCUGUUUUUAUCAUAGCUGUGUAAUGUUCCAUUGUAUAAAUAUGCCAUAAUUUGUUUACCAUUCUCCUGUUGAUGGGCAUCUGGGUUGUUUAGAAUAAAGCUGCAAUAAACUUUCUGGUCCAAGUC